CGCGAACGGGUGAGUAACACGUGGGUAACCUGCCCCGAAGACAGGGACAACCCGGGGAAACUCGGGCUAAUACCUGAUGUUCCCUCCUCACACCAGUGAGGCGGGAAAAGGAAGCUUCGGCCUCCGCUUCGGGAUGGGCCCGCGGCCAUUAGCUUGUUGGUGAGGUAACGGCUCACCAAGGCAACGAUGGGUAGCUGGUCUGAGAGGACGAUCAGCCACACUGGGACUGAGACACGGCCCAGACUCCUACGGGAGGCAGCAGUGGGGAAUCUUGCGCAAUGCGCGAAAGCGUGACGCAGCAACGCCGCGUGGGGGAAGAAGGCCUUCGGGUCGUAAACCCCUUUCAGGAGGGACGAAGUCCGGGCGGUUAAUAGCCGACCCGGAUGACGGUACCUCCAGAAGAAGCCCCGGCUAACUACGUGCCAGCCGCCGCGG
rnacentral:rRNA from 1 species